rnacentral:rRNA from 1 species
UACGUAGGUGACAAGCGUUGUCCGGAUUUACUGGGCGUAAAGAGCGCGCAGGCGGUCGACCAAGUCGAGUGUGAAGGCCCCCGGCUCAACUGGGGAGGGUCAUUCGAUACUGAUCGACUCGAAGGCAGGAGAGGGUAGUGGAAUUCCCGGUGUAGUGGUGAAAUGCGUAGAUAUCGGGAGGAACACCAGUGGCGAAGGCGACUACCUGGCCUGUUCUUGACGCUGAGGCGCGAAAGCUAGGGGAGCAAACGGG